rnacentral:rRNA from 1 species
UAUGGAGCUUUAACUAACUAGCCCAAAGAAAACAAACUCAACCACCAAGGGAUAACAACACUCUUCAUGGACUAGCAGUUUUGGUUGGGGUGACCUCGGAGAACAAAAAAUCCUCCGAGCGAUUUUAAAGACUAGACCUACAAGUCAAACCCAAUUAUCGCUUAUUGAUCCAAAAAACUUGAUCAACGGAACAAGUUACCCUA